rnacentral:lncRNA from 1 species
CUCCUCUCAUUGAGCCAUCAAAACAAUUAAACCAAAAGCUGAUCAGAAAUUCAAGUCCUAAUCAAAUUAGGACUUGAACCCAAUUUCCCCUCAAAUCUUGGAUUACAAAUUAGUCCGAGUUCAUCCCCAGAAUUAAUCCUACAGCUAAUGCCCAGUACUAGCAUGACACAGCCAGUGUUUAAUUUCGUUUGACCUAGAGCUUAAUUCUUAAUUAAGUAAAUCUAUUUGCUCAAUCAAGUCACCUAUUUCUAAAUUGAAUAUAUAGUUCUUAGGUCAAGCCUUUCCUACACCGCUCGACUAUAUACGUGACUUCAUAGGUUCAAACACUAAGUCGGUAGUGCAAAAAUUAUUUUCUAUACUAAUCGAAGUAACCAUCUAGUAAUGAUACUCGAUAUCUGGAUAGGUUGAAUUUUGCAAAGCAUCAUUCAAGAACCUUGGCAUAUGGUUACUACAUAAUUCAUCCCCUUGACUCUCAAUGCUUAGGAUGACUUUAGGAUUAACUGUCAAACCCUUAAUGAGUCUUUCAUAUUGUAU